rnacentral:rRNA from 1 species
UACGUAGGGGCAAGCGUUGUCCGGAAUUACUGGGCGUAAAGCGCACGCAGGCGGAAUUGUAAGUCCGUUGUAAAAUUCAGAGGCUCAACCUCUGUCUGUCGGCGGAUACUGCAAAUCUAGAGUAUGUGAGAGGGAAGUGGAAUUCCUGGUGUAGCGGUGAAAUGCGUAGAUAUCAGGAGGAACUCCGGUGGCGAAGGCGACUUCCUGGCACAAGACUGACGCUCAUGUGCGAAAGCUAGGGUAGCGAACGGGAUUAGAUA